rnacentral:misc_RNA from 1 species
GGAUGGGCAAACGUAAGCGUAAAGAAGAGGUAGACCAAUAUUAUGCAGCAGGGAUACCCAUGCAACAUCGGAUACCUGCUACAGCUUUUGAUGUUGAUCCUUCUCACCUAUAUCACAUCGGCAAUGAGAUGGACAAUCCUCAUUUGUGCAUUACAGUAAGUGAAGAUGAUCAUGGUCGGAUAUCUCACGUAGCUCAAAGUGUCGAUGAUAUUGAUUUCUGUGAAGAUGCUAAGGAAGUUGAUGAAUCACACUUCCAUCAUCUAGUUGGAGAACAAGAUGACCAUCUCUCCAGUGAAGUAGCAGAAGAUAAACCUCAUGCUUCAUUGGAUAUCGUGGUUCCUCAGGUCUCCCAUGAAACUAGAGAGGAUGUUGCACAGCAGAACGAUUAUGGGGUUCUUGUUUAGACCAGUAAAGAUGAAAUUUAUGGCUUGCACAAUUUUCAGUUCAUUUGGAGAUGUUUUUCUCCUCUGUCC